ACUGCACUUUUGUUUUGAGGGGGGAACUCAGCCAAAGUUUCCAUUAACCUCCUCUCAGUCCUGACGUCACAGCAUGGAGGUAAAGGUAGAAACUCCUCCAUCAGACAGACUGAGCAGAGAGGUGGCUCCACCGUGUGGCGCUGCGUGGUACUGCAGUUAUAUCCUCCUGACUUUGAGCCUUCACACUGAGAGAAUGCUGGAAGCCAAUUUUUGUAUAUUUGUUCUUGUUUUUGAAGGCUGGCUUUUUGCAGUGCAGGAGGAAGAACCGGAGCUGAAGCCCUCCAUCACUCCCAGACAUCACUGAAGCUCUCAGCUGAUGUUUGAUCCUCCUGGUUAAUGUGACGGCUGUGAUGCGCCUCAUCGUCCACUAGAUGGAGCUCUUCAGCUUCAGAUGAAGGUCUGAUCUGCAGAAGUCUUUCCUCUGAGUGAAAACAGAAGAGUUCCCUGUGCUGACAUCUUUCAUCUAAUGUGUUAAAGUAAUGUGGAAGCUCUCAUGAGGAGGACGGUGUUGGCUUCUGUUUCAGAUGGAGAGAGUCAGUGGUGUGAAGGCUGCAUGCUGCUCAGGAGGACUUUAUCUGUGACAUGAUGUUUGUGUUGUUAGU